rnacentral:rRNA from 1 species
UACGAAGGGGGCUAGCGUUGCUCGGAAUCACUGGGCGUAAAGCGCACGUAGGCGGACUCUUAAGUCAGGGGUGAAAUCCUGGAGCUCAACUCCAGAACUGCCUUUGAUACUGGGAGUCUUGAGUCCGGAAGAGGUAAGUGGAACUGCGAGUGUAGAGGUGAAAUUCGUAGAUAUUCGCAAGAACACCAGUGGCGAAGGCGGCUUACUGGUCCGGUUCUGACGCUGAGGCGCGAAAGCGUGGGGAGCAAACAGG